UGUAUCUGUUAGUGUGUGUGUCUGACUGUUAGUGUGACUGACUGUGAGUGUGUUUGCCUGCUAGUGAGUGUGUGUGUCUGCUAGUGAGUGAGUGUGGCUGUGUGUGUCUGUCUGCUAGUGAGUGAGUAAGUGUCUGUGUGUGUCAGUGAGUUUGUGUUUCUGUUAGCUAGUGUAUGCGUGUGUAUUUAGUAGGCGGGGAGGGGGUCCUGAGUUUUGUCCUGCCUAGGGAGUGUAACACUCCAUUCUUGCUGGGACUAAUAAGAUUGAAAUCUUAGUGUCUAGGAUUAUUUUAUAUGGAACCUGACAUAUUGAUGAUAGCAGGUUGUCAUAGUGAUAGUGAAUGUUACUGGUGCUGAGCAUUGUGAUUUACAGUGCCCAACAGAACGGACAUGACAUCACACCAUUCCGAGGCCAUGUGAGGCUGCUGCAUUGUAGCUUGGAAGACCCUAGUGAUCGGUAUCUCCACUGUAAGGCAGCAUGGGCAGUGAUGCAGACCUAAUGAUCUCCUGGCAGAAUUGAGCAGCAGGAAAAUAGGCAAAAAAAAACCAUAGUGGCAAGCAAGUGUGUCUCUGUACUUGUGCAUGUAAAUACAUGUAACUGGCUAGUAAUCAGUGGCAGCUGUUGAAGUUUUAGGAUAGUGGGGUGCAAGACUCCACCCAAGGAACAUCACAAUAUGAAACUAUCACAAUAGUCAGAUUAAAAAAAACAUACUUGAGAAUACAGGACAAGACCAUAAUGGAACUGUACCUGGAAGAUUGUGGUAGUCUGGAAACAUGCUUUAACAGACACACACUACAUACGUUCCCUUAUAGUUGUUAAUGGUUUUGUUUUUAACCAUAGCAACUGGAGCUCCGUUCCUUGUUUUGAUUUUUGUUAUUUUAGAUAAAAUGAAACCAUGCUUGAGAUGUCACAUGCAGUGAAUGUAUUAUUAUAUACAGACCAACACCCAAUAAGUAAGUAAACCAUGUAUGGUGAAAUGAAUGUCAUUUGUCCAAGUUUCAAAAUGGGCAUUUACUAAAUAUUUUCAGAUAAUGUACUUGUGUGGUGUUUCGAUACAGCUGUGUAACUGAACUGAAAAUUAAAGGAACACUAUAGUGUCGGGAAUACAAACCUGUAUUCCUAACACUAUAAUGUUUAACUAACUAUUUAGCCCCUUGUCCUCCUCAGAUAACUUUGAAAAGGCAAUUACAUACCUUUUCUCCAUUGCUUUGGCUGGCUCCGACUACGUGGCUGAGAUUGUCAAUCUUGAUGAUCUCAGCAAAUCCAAUGCUUUCCCAUAUGAAAACAUUGUGAGUUUAUUGCGCGUGCGCAUUCAAUGCAUCUAAUUGAAUUAAUGCAUGUCUAUGAGAAACAUUCAGCAUCACUGAACACCCUGUGCAACCCUGAGAUAGAAAGCACGUUUAGUGGCCAUCUGAGUUACUGCUAUUAGAGGUGUUCCUAGGCAGCAAUGUAAACACUGCCUUUUUUCUGAAAAGACAGUGUUUACAUUGAAAAGCUUGCACGGACAUGCUGUAGACACCAAAGCCACUUCAUGAAGCUGUAGUGGUUCUGGUGUCCCUUUAAAAGUAGGGAGGAGCACAGAAAAUUUGCC